GUGGGUGUUAGCGUAGAAAAAUGCCAUGCUAACUGUUAGCGUAGAAAAAUGCCAUGCUAACUGUUAGUGUAGCGUUUGUCUACGCUAACACAGCCUUGUCA